rnacentral:rRNA from 1 species
AUUGAACGCUGGCGGCAUGCCUUACACAUGCAAGUCGAACGGCAGCACGGGGCAACCUGGUGGCGAGUGGCGAACGGGUGAGUAAUACAUCGGAACGUACCUUUCAGUGGGGGAUAACGUAGCGAAAGUUACGCUAAUACCGCAUAUUCUGGGAGCAGGAAAGCAGGGGAUAGCAAGACCUUGCGCUGAUUGAGCGGCCGAUGUCAGAUUAGCUAGUUGGUGAGGUAAAGGCUCACCAAGGCGACGAUCUGUAGCGGGUCUGAGAGGAUGAUCCGCCACACUGGAACUGAGACACGGUCCAGACUCCUACGGGAGGCAGCAGUGGGGAAUUUUGGACAAUGGGGGCAACCCUGAUCCAGCCAUGCCGCGUGAGUGAAGAAGGCCUUCGGGUUGUAAAGCUCUUUCGGCCGGGAAGAAAUCGCACGGGCUAAUACCCUGUGUGGAUGACGGUACCGGAAUAAGAAGCACCGGCUAACUACGUGCCAGCCGCCGCCGUAAUAC